rnacentral:rRNA from 1 species
CCCAGACUCCUACGGGAGGCAGCAGUGAGGAAUAUUGGUCAAUGGCCGGAAGGCUGAACCAGCCAAGCCGCGUGAAGGACGAAGGUGCCAAGCAUUGUAAACUUCUUUUGUCAAGGGACAAAAUCAGGCUCGAGAGCCUGACCGAGGGUACUUGAAGAAAAAGCAUCGGCUAACUCCGUGCCAGCAGCCGCGGUAAUACGGAGGAUGCGAGCGUUAUCUGGAUUUAUUGGGUUUAAAGGGUGCGUAGGCGGGCAUUUAAGCCGGCGGUCAAAUGUCGGGGCUCAACCCCGGCCUGCCGUCGGAACUGGGUGCCUUGAGUGGGCGAGAAGUAUGCGGAAUGCGUGGUGUAGCGGUGAAAUGCAUAGAUAUCACGCAGAACCCCGAUUGCGAAGGCAGCAUACCGGCGCCCUACUGACGCUGAGGCACGAAAGUGCGGGUAUCGAACAGGAUUAGAUACCCGAGUACAG